GCUUGCAGAAGAGUGAGACACAGUGAACCGGUUAUGCGCACAAGCUACGGAUCGAGCAACCUGAGGUGUGAAAUAAAAGCAUCUCCAAGCUGCUGAUACAAGAAGCCUUCAGCAUUUGGCCAUCUUUCCUAUGACCCUGUUAAACAGUGAAUGUCACAACCUGCAACAUAUGAGCAUGGCAGAUGAUCAGAAGUCCACACGCUCAAAGCUGCGGGGAGUCAAAAGGCCAGGCAGCGCUUGGUAUGGAGGAGGCCAAAGCUCUGCCCUUAAAGAGAGCCCUUAAAGAGCUGUUUGCCGUGGAUUCAGACACAUAAAACACUACAGAUGACUUCCAUCUAUACUGUCCUAUGGAGUCCAGUAACCUGCGAUGCUGUCUGAUGUGCCAGCACCAUGUGCCAGCCGCUGGGGACAUUAUCAGUCAUGAGCACUCUUGUUUGUCUCCAGAAAAAGCCAACUUGCUGAGUGAUUUAAAUAUUUUAAGUAUGCAGCAUAGUGAGCCUCACACAUUGACUACAAACUGUUUAUUUCCCACUGAAAACUGUUUAAACUUUAUUAAAACCAUUUAUACCAAUGUAUGGCGUGGGUGGCAGGGUGGUGCGGGUUUGUAUGGAUAUUAAUUUCUGAGCCGGUGAGCCAAACUUAACAUUUCAAAGAUUCAGGUUUCGAGAUAUAGUGCCAUCUUGUUUAGUCUACAAACUGUAUGUUCAGCUAGGCCAUUGUUUGGACUUCAAGUUUUCCUUAAUGAAGUCCCUGGCUUUCUUGAAAGCUUUGAAGUCCUGGCCCACAAACUGUCUUCCAUUGUCUGUAAAGAAGUUUUGGGGUGACCAAUAAACAGAGAAGAAUCUCUCAAUUUUUUAUAUCACCAUCUGAUGUAUAAAUAGAAUAGAAUAGAAUAUGCCACAUGGACGUUGCAUGGUGAACUCAUUUCCAGGGUGACCCCAUGUACAGUUCAUGUAUAA